rnacentral:rRNA from 1 species
UACGGAGGGUGCAAGCGUUAUCCGGAUUCACUGGGUUUAAAGGGUGCGUAGGCGGGCAGGUAAGUCAGUGGUGAAAUCCUUGAGCUUAACUCGAGAACUGCCAUUGAUACUAUCUGUCUUGAAUAUUGUGGAGGUAAGCGGAAUAUGUCAUGUAGCGGUGAAAUGCUUAGAGAUUACAUGGAAUACCAAUUGCGAAGGCAGGUUACUACUAAUGGAUUGACGCUGAUGGACGAAAGCGUGGGUAGCGAACGG